rnacentral:rRNA from 1 species
GACGAACCGUCCAAACGUUAUUCGGUAUCACUGGGCUUAAAGAGUUCGUAGGCGGCUACGAAGGUGAGGUGUGAAAGCCCUCGGCUUAACCGAGGAAUUGCGCUUCAAACCACGUAGCUAGAGGGAGACAGAGGUGAGCGGAACUGAUGGUGGAGCGGUGAAAUGCGUUGAUAUCAUCAGGAACACCGGUGGCGAAAGCGGCUCACUGGGUCUUUUCUGACGCUGAGGAACGAAAGCUAGGGGAGCGAAC